AAGCCUGCGCUGGCGGGGAGGAUGCGUCAUGACGUCAUAAAAUCCCCAUCUUUAUAUACUAGCGCUGGCCGCCAUCUCGGUCUUUUGAGGCUAGGAGUCGCCGAUCUGUAUGAAUCAUGCUGGGCACGAAUGCAGUGUGGCUUUUGAUGGCUUCUGAUGGACAGUUCUGUGUCAAAGGGGUGGAAGUGGCUGCCGAGGCCCUAAAGUUUCACACCCUCGCCGUGGGCAAAGAGGCACUAAACAGAAGUAGCUGGAAGUUGAAGGGGUGGACUUGAGUCUUAGACAUGUCUGGACCAUUUUUGGGCUUAUAGGCCACUAUCAUGGAGGCUUGCUUGGGGUACUGAGUUUGAAGACGUUUUCAUAUAAAGGUGUGAAGAGUUGGGGGCACCUUACAAAGCCUGGAACAAGGAGUUAUAAGCUAAGGGUGUUUAUGAGAGCAGCAAUCCAGUUAUGAGAGCAGCUUACCAGUUGAAAGGCACCUGAAUGGAUGCUUAUGGGAUAGAAGAUCAAAUUUCCAAUUUCAAUAAAUUUUUAUAAACCAUCUGAUCAAGAGUGCUUCUUUCAGUUUAAUGAGAUGAAGGAAGGGAAGUAGGACAUCUUUGUGGUUUGAGACCCUGUGACCUUAGUUUCAUUAGUUGACCUUUUCAUGUGUAUUUUAUAGGAUGUCUUGGGCUUGAAAAUAAUUUGCAGAGGAAUAUACUAUAGCCCUUUUGUUUAAAAUACUGUAUUUGUAUUGACUUAGAUUAGUGACAUGAUCUGGGAUUAGCUGUAUAUUUUGCAGAAAUUUUCUAGGGCUGAAUGAAAUCCCUGUCAGAAAAAUAUUUGCUGUUAAGCAUGGUUUCUUAGAAGUGUUGAUAGAUGAUAAAAAGAAGUGACUCGGUAUCUUCCCCCCCCAUACAAAUUGAAAGCAAGCCUAAAAAUCUAAUAGAUUUUAAGACUGAAGUCAGUACUGUGGUUAUACCAAUCCUUUAGAAAAUAGGUAUAUUUAGUAGUAGUGCUAAUUUUGUAAGUGACAAUUGGGAUUUUGGUCAUUACUGAAUAAUUGUAAACUAGUGGGUUGCCAGUCAAUUACUCCCUAAAUUCCUAAAGAGACCGCUUUGGCUUCUGGCAACAUAAAAGCCUUAGAUAUUCCAAAUCUGCACAUUUAGUACUUGAAGUGUGGGGGUGACAUGACACAUUCGGGUUGCAAUUUAUCUUCGGACUUAACCUACUUGAGUUUUAAGACCAAAGAUACUGCAAAUCUGGAUACAAUGUGACUUGAAAUAAACACUGGGGUCUGAUUGUGAGCUUUUGAUGGCUUUCAGAGUAUGAGAAAACUUAACCCCAGCCACACUGACAACCACACUUGUACAGGAAAGUAAAGUACGAAUUUAUUGCAGAUGGGAUUAGCUCAGUCUCUGAGAAAUUGUGGCUAGGUGCCCAAAGGUCAAUAAUGAAAUUAGGCAGCAAUCAUGGUGGUCUAUGGCUUGGAAGAUGGCCAUUAAGCUUUUGGAGAUGUAU